GACGAACGCUGGCGGCGUGCUUAACACAUGCAAGUCGAACGGAAAGGCCCUGCUUUUGUGGGGUGCUCGAGUGGCGAACGGGUGAGUAACACGUGAGUAACCUGCCCUUGACUUUGGGAUAACUUCAGGAAACUGGGGCUAAUACCGGAUAGGAGCUCCUGCUGCAUGGUGGGGGUUGGAAAGUUUCGGCGGUUGGGGAUGGACUCGCGGCUUAUCAGCUUGUUGGUGGGGUAGUGGCUUACCAAGGCUUUGACGGGUAGCCGGCCUGAGAGGGUGACCGGCAACGUGGGGCAGGAAAUCCGCCCAAAUCCCCGAGGGGGGGCAGCGGGGGGAAUUAUGACAAAUGGGGGGAACGCCGGAUGCAGCACCGCGGGGGGGGGGAGGGCGGCCUUCGGGUUUUACCCGCUUUUCGCCGGUGACGAGGGGGGGGGGGGGUUAGGGGAUAAAGAACCCCGGCGAACCUACGUC
rnacentral:rRNA from 1 species